rnacentral:lncRNA from 1 species
UGAGAAACGGAGGCCUUCAGCCAACAGCUGGGAGAAGCUGAGUCCCAUCAGCCAUUCAAAAGACUGCAGCCCCAGCCAAGAGUUUGAUGUAACCUCAGGAGAGACCCUGAGCCAGAACCACCUAGGAGAUGAUGAGCUCCUGGGCAAGACUGAGGUUUGUGUCAUUUUGCAUCCCCAGCACCGAGAAGAGUACCUGGCACUUAUUGGCCAACGAGCUAUACCUAGUGAUUCCAAAGUCCACAUAUAUUUACUCUGUUCUCACUGUACAAAGUAACCACUCUGAAGUCAAAAAAGCUGGGAUACAUGAAGACUGCCAUCCCUUGAGUCACUUGCCCUGUAGCUGCCACUGUUGGAAAAGGGCUUGCUUCUGUGUCCUUGUGCCCACUUUGAAAAUCCCUGGGAAGUCCUUGGAGUCAGAUGAGCAGGCCUCCGCCACUCUGCCAAAAAGUCUGUUCAGAAGUUUCACAUCACUAGAGAAGAGAGAAGAAGGACAUUUGUACUGGGAGGAGUCGACCGGUCCCAGUAAGGAGAAAGUAGCUACAGCGUCAUGGGUGAGCUGGGUCCCCCAAAAAGGAACUUUAAGGGAAUGGACUGAAUCAAGUCUGAGAUGUCCCCAAAGCAAGACCAAAGAACUGAGGAAGAGAAGCAUUCAUCAGAAACCAAAAUUCAGCUACAAGUGAGCAUCCAGAUGGAGGUAUUAUGAAGAGGAACUGAGACUGAGGGCAAAAGGUGCCAGCCAGAAUCCUGGAUAGGAGAGCAAGAACCAGGACCUCAUUUAAGAGACAACCUGCUUAAGGCAGAGUAAGGUGAGAUUGGAUUCACGCAAAGACCUGGAAUUCAACACAAAUGGGCACUCAACAUCAAUGAAGUAACAGCAAAGUCACAUAAUAAAAGCAUGGAAUUAAGACAAGCUGAAGAUUCGGAUGCAAUAAAAC